rnacentral:rRNA from 1 species
GUUGGUGAACCAGCGGAGGGAUCAUUACCGAGUUUACAACUCCCAAACCCCUGUGAACAUACCACUUGUUGCCUCGGCGGAUCAGCCCGCUCCCGGUAAAACGGGACGGCCCGCCAGAGGACCCCUAAACUCUGUUUCUAUAUGUAACUUCUGAGUAAAACCAUAAAUAAAUCAAAACUUUCAACAACGGAUCUCUUGGUUCUGGCAUCGAUGAAGAACGCAGCAAAAUGCGAUAAGUAAUGUGAAUUGCAGAAUUCAGUGAAUCAUCGAAUCUUUGAACGCACAUUGCGCCCGCCAGUAUUCUGGCGGGCAUGCCUGUUCGAGCGUCAUUUCAACCCUCAAGCACAGCUUGGUGUUGGGACUCGCGUUAAUUCGCGUUCCUCAAAUUGAUUGGCGGUCACGUCGAGCUUCCAUAGCGUAGUAGUAAAACCCUCGUUACUGGUAAUCGUCGCGGCCACGCCGUUAAACCCCAACUUCUGAAUGUUGACCUCGGAUCAGGUAGGAAUACCCGCUGAACUUAAGCAUAUCA